GCAGUCGAACGGUAAGGCCCCUUCGGGGGUACACGAGUGGCGAACGGGUGAGUAACACGUGGGUAAUCUGCCCUGCACUUCGGGAUAAGCCUGGGAAACCGGGUCUAAUACCGGAUAUGAACUCCUGCCGCAUGGUGGGGGUUGGAAAGUUUUUCGGUGCAGGAUGAGCCCGCGGCCUAUCAGCUUGUUGGUGGGGUAAUGGCCUACCAAGGCGACGACGGGUAGCCGGCCUGAGAGGGUGAUCGGCCACACUGGGACUGAGACACGGCCCAGACUCCUACGGGAGGCAGCAGUGGGGAAUAUUGCACAAUGGGCGAAAGCCUGAUGCAGCGACGCCGCGUGGGGGAUGACGGUCUUCGGAUUGUAAACCCCUUUCAGUAGGGACGAAGCGCAAGUGACGGUACCUGCAGAAGAAGCACCGGCUAACUACGUGCCAGCAGCCGCGGUAAUACGUAGGGUGCGAGCGUUGUCCGGAAUUACUGGGCGUAAAGAGCUCGUAGGCGGUUUGUCACGUCGUCUGUGAAAUCCCUCGGCUUAACCGGGGGCGUGCAGGCGAUACGGGCAGACUUGAGUACUACAGGGGAGACUGGAAUUCCUGGUGUAGCGGUGAAAUGCGCAGAUAUCAGGAGGAACACCGGUGGCGAAGGCGGGUCUCUGGGUAGUAACUGACGCUGAGGAGCGAAAGCAUGGGUAGCGAACAGGAUUAGAUACCCUGGUAGUCCAUGCCGUAAACGGUGGGCGCUAGGUGUGGGGUCCUUCCACGGACUCCGUGCCGUAGCUAACGCAUUAAGCGCCCCGCCUGGGGAGUACGGCC
rnacentral:rRNA from 1 species